GUAGUUCAGUGGUAGAACAUCACCUUGCCAUGGUGGGGGUCGCGGGUUCGAAUCCUGUUUUCCCG
rnacentral:tRNA from 1 species